rnacentral:rRNA from 1 species
AUUGAACGCUGGCGGAAUGCUUUACACAUGCAAGUCGAGCGGCAGCGCGGGGCAACCUGGCGGCGAGCGGCGAACGGGUGAGUAAUGCAUCGGAACGUACCCAGUCGUGGGGAAUAACACAGCGAAAGUUGUGCUAAUACCGCGUACGUCCUGAGGGAGAAAGCGGGGGAUCGCAAGACCUCGCGCGAUUGGAGCGGCCGAUGUCGGAUUAGCUAGUUGGUGGGGUAAAGGCCCACCAAGGCGACGAGCCGUAGCUGGUCUGAGAGGACGACCAGCCACACUGGAACUGAGACACGGUCCAGACUCCUACGGGAGGCAGCAGUGGGGAAUUUUGGACAAUGGGGGCAACCCUGAUCCAGCCAUUCCGCGUGAGUGAAGAAGGCCUUCGGGUUGUAAAGCUCUUUCGGCAGGAACGAAACGGUGGGGGCUAAUAUCCCUUGCUAAUGACGGUACCUGAAGAAGAAGCACCGGCUAACUACGUGCCAGCCGCCGCAGUAA